AGAGUUUGAUCCUGGCUCAGAUUGAACGCUGGAGGCGUGCUUAGCACAUGCAAGUCGUGCGAGAAAGGGACUUCGGUCCUGAGUAGAGCGGCGCACGGGUGAGUAACGCGUGGGUGAUCUCCCUUGGUGACCGGGAUAACAGCGGGAAACUGCUGCUAAUACCGGAUAAUCUUCAUGUUUAACUUCAUGGGGUAAAGGUGGCCUCUGCUUGCAAGCUACCACACCGAGAUGAGCCCGCGUCUCAUUAGCUAGUUGGUAGGGUAAUGGCCUACCAAGGCUACGAUGAGUAGCUGGUCUGAGAGGAUGACCAGCCACACUGGGACUGGAACACGGCCCAGACUCCUACGGGAGGCAGCAGUGGGGAAUAUUGCGCAAUGGGCGAAAGCCUGACGCAGCGACGCCUCGUGAGGGAUGAAGGUCUUCGGAUCGUAAACCUCUGUCAAGAGGGAAGAAACCCUUGGAUUCGAAUAGGGUCCUUGGCUGACGGUACCUCAAAAGGAAGCACCGGCUAACUCCGUGCCAGCAGCCGCGGUAAUACGGAGGGUGCAAGCGUUAAUCGGAAUCACUGGGCGUAAAGCGCUCGUAGGCGGUUUGGUCAGUCAGAUGUGAAAGCCCUCGGGCUCAACCGGGGAACUGCAUUUGAUACUGCCAGACUUGAGUAUCGGAGAGGGUGGCGGAAUUUCCGGGUGUAGGAGUGAAAUCCGUGGAUAUCCCGGAGGAACACCAGUGGCGAAGGCGGCCACCUGGACGAUAACUGACGCUGAGAGCGAAAGCGUGGGGAGCAACAGGAUAGAUACCCUGGUAGUC
rnacentral:rRNA from 1 species